rnacentral:rRNA from 1 species
UAGGGAAUCUUCCACAAUGGACGCAAAGUCUGAUGGAGCAACGCCGCGUGAGUGAAGAAGGUCUUCGGAUCGUAAAACUCUGUUGUUAGAGAAGAACACGAGUGAGAGUAACUGUUCAUUCGAUGACGGUAUCUAACCAGCAAGUCACGGCUAACUACGUGCCAGCAGCCGCGGUAAUACGUAGGUGGCAAGCGUUGUCCGGAUUUAUUGGGCGUAAAGGGAACGCAGGCGGUCUUUUAAGUCUGAUGUGAAAGCCUUCGGCUUAACCGGAGUAGUGCAUUGGAAACUGGAAGACUUGAGUGCAGAAGAGGAGAGUGGAACUCCAUGUGUAGCGGUGAAAUGCGUAGAUAUAUGGAAGAACACCAGUGGCGAAAGCGGCUCUCUGGUCUGUAACUGACGCUGAGGCUCGAAAGCAUGGGUAGCGAACAGGAUUAGAUACCCUGGUAGUCCAUGCCGUAAACGAUGAGUGCUAGUGUUGGAGGGUUUCCGCCCUUCAGUGCCGGAGCUAACGCAUUAAGCACUCCGCCUGGGGAGUACGACCGCAAAGGUUG